rnacentral:rRNA from 1 species
UUCUAUUUAUAGCAUAUAUAAGAAAUUGGAAAAUACGAACAAUAGUUUAAAAACCAAAGAAUUUGGCGGUGUCUUAUUUUAUUAGGGGAACCUGUUUCAUAAUCGAUAAUCCACGAAUGUAUAACCUAAUUUUGAAACUCAGUUAGUGUACUGCCGUCUUAAGUAUAUCUUUAUGAGUGUAUACAAAAAAUUUAUUUUAAAUUAUAUGUCAGGUCAAAGUGCAGCUUAUAAUUAGGAAGAUAAUGGGUUACAAUAUUAAUAAAUAAACGAAUAAAAUAUAAUAAAUGUAUAUUUUGAAGGUGGACUUAAUAGUAAUUAAAAUAAAACUUUAAUGAAUAUAAUACUAAGACAUGU